GCACCAGGACCGCUGCCAGGGCCUGGAGAGAGCGGAUCCAGCGUCCCAGCUCCGGAUCCAGCGUCCCAGCUCCGAGGCUCCUCAGACAGAAGAGGGCGGGGCCUCGUUCUUCCCUCCUGCCCCCAGGCUGCCAGGCUGCGUUUCAUAGUUUGAUUGAAAGUGUGCCAUCCCGUCUGUCUCUCUGCAAACAAAUGGAAUAUUCUGAGCUUCCAGCAUUUGGAGGCACACAGCUUGCAUCUUUUCCUGAAGAAAAAUAAAUAGCAUGUGUGGUUAACAACCGAGUCCUGAUGGAGAAAACAAUGCUGCCGACCAGAAGCCCUUGCGCAACCGGGGCCGCAGACGCCAGGCAGGUAGCUGAGCUUCAGCUCCUCUGCAAUGCCAAGUCCAUCCACUGUCAGAAGACCCCUCCUCCUCUGCCACCAGCUCACCCACACCCAUCCAGGACCCUGGCUUGCAGGGCUGUCCAUGUCUGUUUACAAACCGCAGGAGAGAAAGCGGCUCAAGGCAUAGGUCAAGCUGCAGAGCUUUUUGGAACAAGGGGUUUAAAACCUACCUUUUUUUGAAUAAUCCCAGCUCCCAACUCUGGGAGAAACAAAUACAAACCAGAAUUCUC